UCAGUAUCCGAUGAACAUCCUCCGCUACUUCUCGAGCGUUGAAGUCAACGCAUAGAAGAAAACUCUCUAAAUGGAAUGAGCAGGAUUUGCAACACAAAGUUGUGAUUUGCAAAGUACUAGAGGCGACGAUUGAAUUUUCUCUAUCCAAAGGUGUGUGCCUCCCACCCUGCGCACCACCACGGCCCUCACCUGUGUGUUGCGGUGCUUCCCCUGCGAGCCGUCCUGGGCCGGCAGCCCCUUCCUGCACCGCCCCCAUACUUCGCCCAGCAACAGCAACGCCGUCGCCCCUGCAACCGCCACUGUCUCCCAGGCAACUGUCAUCAUGACGCGCUCCAAGACCUUCCAGGCCUACCUGCCCAACUGCCACCGUACCUACAGCUGCAUCCACUGUCGAGCACACCUGGCCAACCAUGACGAGCUCAUCUCCAAGUCCUUCCAAGGAAGUCAAGGCCGAGCGUACCUCUUCAACUCAGUGGUGAACGUGGGGUGUGGACCAGCAGAAGAGAGGGUGUUGUUGACAGGGCUUCACGCGGUGGCUGAUAUCUACUGUGAAAACUGUAAAACCACGCUGGGCUGGAAAUACGAGCAUGCCUUUGAGAGCAGUCAGAAGUACAAGGAGGGGAAGUUCAUUAUCGAGCUGGCCCACAUGAUCAAGGACAAUGGAUGGGACUGAGGGGGCUGACCUCACCAAUAAGGUUUACCGCUAGCUCAUCGACAUGACCCUAUCCACCUGACACACAGCUCUAUAGGAUCUCUAUGAUGGGCAGACUCAUGGAAGACACCAACCAGAAUCACCAGACUUCUUGAAGCCAGAAAUCGUCCAAAACUCCUUUCAACCAAAUCAGCACCUUAUCGUUCGGAAUUGAGAUUGAAACAGAUUGUCAUUAAUCUAAAACUGCUUGACUGUUCAUCUUUAAAAAAUCUUUGCUGUUCUUAGUUUUUUUAUUCGAGCAUGUGUUUAAGUUAUUGAUGUAUUUAUUAAUUUAUUUGGUAUUGUUUAGGGACAAUCCCCUUCUCCCCCUUUGUUAAAAGAUAGUAGCUUUAUUGGUUCCACCCUCACUUCCAAUGGUAGCAAUCUUAAAAAUGAGGUGUCACUCAAGUUGUGUCUUCCUUUUGCCUUUCUGAAUGUGCUAUUACCAUCCUCUGUGAAUGUUUUAGUAAUGGUGGUGUGUGCGAGGAACAGUGGCAGAGUGCAAGAGGUUUACAUGUCAACUGGGUAAAGAGACCGGGGGGAAGAAGUUAGCACCCGUAGCUCUUUUCAGUCUCAAAGCAAUGCUGACAUUAUAAAGGUGAUGACAGUUCAAAUUGACUGGUUCUAAGGGCAACUUCUAACUGGCGCCUCACACAGACUGAUGCUUGUAAACUGGUGGUUCUCUGUUUACCUGGGUCUGCCUCCUCGCUUAUUUGUUUUGUUGUUGGUUUUGACUUUACAAGAUUUGAGUAUUACGACAGUUAAAAUUGACUUUCUACAGUCUGGAACAGGAGAACCAAUCGAAAGCCACAGAAUACCCAAUCAGAGGGUGUCACACGUCCCAGCACAACAACCAAAGACUCCCAUCAACUAAAAGUUGACCAAACAAUGGACCUUGCCCUUGAUUGCUUGUAUCAGCAAGUUGUCGAAUGAAAGAAUGUGAUUGGCCGAGAGCCACUGUCGAACCUUGGCCUUUCUCUGUGAGAUAAUGCAUUGUUUGGUUGAGACAAUUACAAGUUAAUACCUGUAUAUUCACUAUGAACAUAUGCAUUAUUAUAUAACGAUAAACAGUAUUACACCAUGUAAAUAGCCAUAUUCAAUGUUUUAUUUAUUCAUUUAUUCAAUUGAUGAUUAUUUUAGUCUAUGCUCUGCUGUCUGUUAGAUUUCCUACUUUUUUACUAUUAAAAAAAACAAAAUGUAUUUUGUAAAGGAAGGAAAAUUGAUGGCAAUAUAUGGGGACUCAAUAAAGAUUCUCAUUUGAUCGAUCUGGCCAAAGUAUGUUUUAUACUCGCCAGGUUGCUAUUCUUGUUUUGUACUUUAGCCAACUCCUUUUGGCUUUUGAGAUGACAACAACCACAAAAAAGCUGGCUGAAACAGAUCUGGCAACCAGGCUCAUUGUAUUGUACAUACAGUGUCUUCAGAAAGUAUUCAUACCCCUUGACUUAUUCCACAUUUUGUUGUGUUACAGCCUGAAUUCAAAAUGGAUUUUUAAAAAAAUAUUCUCACCCAUAUACCACACAAUACCUCAAAAUGACAAAGUGAAAACAUAUUUUUAACAAUGUUUGCAAAUUUAUUGA